CAGCAAGCAAACUUCCAAACUUUCUUAAAGAUCUUCUCCUGCUCAAUCUUAAAGAUGGCCGGAUCAGAGUAGAUCUUAUUGUCCACAUAGUGAUCAGAACGAAGGCUAUGAGAAACUUGGAUCGAUGUUGAUUGCAUUGGUUACUCCGAAUUCAUUCCCUAGCGCGGCCGGAAGAAUGGUCUAAACCGACGCCCGUUCUCUAUGGACGAUGGUGUCGACGAGGCCUUUCGUCUCCUUGGCGAUUGCGAAG
rnacentral:misc_RNA from 1 species